rnacentral:rRNA from 1 species
AUUGAACGCUGGCGGAAUGCUUUACACAUGCAAGUCGAACGGCAGCACGGACUUCGGUCUGGUGGCGAGUGGCGAACGGGUGAGUAACAUGUCGGAACGUAUCCAAUAAUGGGGGAUAACUAAUCGAAAGGUUGGCUAAUACCGCAUACGCCCUACGGGGGAAAGCUAGGGACCUUCGGGCCUGGCGUUAAUGGAGCGGCCGAUAUCUGAUUAGCUAGUUGGUGGGGUAAAGGCCCACCAAGGCGACGAUCAGUAGCUGGUCUGAGAGGACGACCAGCCACACUGGAACUGAGACACGGUCCAGACUCCUACGGGAGGCAGCAGUGGGGAAUUUUGGACAAUGGGCGCAAGCCUGAUCCAGCCAUUCCGCGUGAGUGAAGAAGGCCUUCGGGUUGUAAAGCUCUUUCGCAAGGGAAGAAAACUUAGCCUCUAACAUAGGCUGAGGUUGACGGUACCUUGAUAAGAAGCACCGGCUAACUACGUGCCAGCAGCCGCUGUAA